UGGCCGCCUCCCAUGUUGGCACUUCCUAAGUCGAGUUGGGGUUAAGUGGAGGGUGUGAGGCCUGAGGCGGCCUGACUGACAGGGACCGAGAAUGAUAAUUCAAAUAAACAAGAGCAGUAUCUCAAAGAAAAAGGACAGCUGCAGCUGAGACACAGAAACAAAGAAGCUACAGUUGUGGAAAAGCAUGGAGAACCGUUUUGUGUUAAUAACCAAGCAGCAUGCUUUUAAGAAUUUGGAUUUUGUUCAGAAGAAAGAAAAUAGAAUAGAUGGGACUCUUGAAGAUUUAAGGAAGGGGAGUCAUCGAGGGGUGCCUUGGCGGUGAUAAUUGUAUCUGGGAAAAGUCGGUGGAGUGGAACGAUUGCCAAAGGACACUGGAUGUUUUGACCUGGCAUGGUAGGGAGAAGUGUACCUUCACUGGGGAGCUGGAAGUGACUUUGGGACUGUUUCUUUAAUGCUACAUAUCUGCUAGAAGUGUGACAUGCAGUACAAGUAUUUCAUAAGGCAUAUUUCAGUUGUGUUAGUUAAUGCAAAAGUACCUUUGCUUCAGUUUGGUGUAUUAGUUGCCUGUUAAUUAAUGUUUGAUGUUGUUCAUUUUAGUUUGUUACAAUAAAAAUCUUAAAAGGUAAAA